GUCUGAGCCUGUCUCCACCGACGCGGUAACGAGGUGCACGUCAAGCAAAGAGCUUACCUUCCCGCGACCUAUCACGAAAACCGACCACCCACGGUUUCUCCGAAGCACGAUCACGUUACCUUAUAGAAUUUUCGUCGUCGACGAUUCUUCAGAUAAUCUGCGUCCCGGAUGCCAGCGUUAAUUAGAGAUAAUUAUCAUACCAUGGUUGAUCAACCGUUUUCACGUAAUUGCCGUCAUACAAAAAUUCUGUUUCCUAUGGUAAAUCAAAGAUGGCACUGCGGCUAGUAAUUGAAUCGAUAUCGAUACACAUCGAUGUAAACGAUUCGAUUUACCCUCGUAAUGCAAUCUAACCUAAUCGAUUUAGUAAAAAGGUUAACAAAGCUAAAUAUAUCUACAUAAUAAAAUUACGCAUUGCAUUCUAACUUGAUUACUUUCAACAUUAUAUAUAUCGUUGAUCGAUAAUCGAUAAUAGCAUGAUAGUACAAUAGAAAUAGAUAAAAGUCAUACAUAUGAAUAACUGGAUAUGAUUAAAACACGGUUAAGUAAAUAUUGAUCAGUGUGCUUCAUUAUUCGAUUAGGGAUUUGCCGUGUAUUCAACUAUAGAGGAACAGUGUAUGAAACGAUCUAUAAGCACGUUUUACCGCAGUUUGUCCACAACCCUUUGAUUUUUCCGCGUGGUUCGGACGGCGCCGUAUAAUCAACCAUAGGACACUUAUCAAACGCAGGGAAUGUUAUCAGUACAGAGAAAGAUGAAUCAAGGUGCCUGCACCCAUGUACGUACAAACGCACAUACCUACGAUCCGUCAACGUGUGUCACGUACAUUAACACGGAUUGCUGCGUUUUCACGUUGCCGAGCAAUGCGUGGUCUACAUCGCGAGUGCGUAAGUGUACGGGCUACGGGAAAGGAAAGAGGAAGAACAAGAGGGAAGAAGCAAAGAGAAAAAGGAAGAAAGACGAAGAAAGAAGGGAGAGAACGAAGGGAGAAGAGAACUCGGAUGUGCUGUGGAGCAGAGUCGUGUGAGGUGAGGGCGCACCUGGACCUUCUUCUCCAUAGGCGUACAAGGGCUCUCACUGCCUUCCACUCCACGAUUCAACCACCCAACGGACUGCCUCCAGUUACGUGUACCAAAGUUUCUUCUUUCUCUGUUUUCGACCCUUUCUUUUUCUCUCUCAUUCGCCCGUCUCUCUUUCUCUUUUUUUUAGCCACGUAGAUCGCACGAGAGCGUGCGUACCAUUGGAAUCCACGCCCGCCGACACAAAUGCGGUUUACAGCGGCUUUGCCAGAGCAGCGUGAUGCUUGGUAUUUUGUAAAAAAGACAAAUUUUACUAUUCCGGUAUCACGCAAAAAGAACAGAGAAACGUAAUACUAGGAUUAUAAAUGAAAAAAAGCGAUGGAACAUCGUGUGACGGUUUGAAGGAUCAUACAGUGGAAUUUGGAGAUUGCAGGAAAUUCUAAUGAAACGUUAAAUGCAUUAAAAACUGAUAGCGAAACUUAUAAGAACUGCACACGAGCGCUGUCUGACCAAAUUCAGUUGGUCGGAAAUGGUCGAGGCGCGUACCCGUAUGGAAUCCAGAGUGAACGCAUUACACGCAAGCGACGACUCGUACUCGAUGAAGAUGUAAGGGCCGCAUUGUGUCCUGUACCGUCGAGAGAACUCGAGAAUAAAGAGAGAGAGAGACAGAGAGAGAAGACGAGAGAGAAAGUAUUCACGUAUAUACUGAGCGGGACCGCAACUACUAACGUGGGGUAGAUCUCAGCGCGGAUAGUGCUUUAUUUCAUCAAAGGGACAACAAGGAAGCCGAGAUAACGCCGCAUGCUUCACAGAAAGGAGCACUUCGGAUAGAGGAGUAUGCACGGCACGCACGACGCGCUCGAUGAUCCAUAAUCGUGUGUAGUCGCAAUAACCACGCUCCAGUUGCAUCCUUCGUAAAAUUCUUCAAACAGUAAUCUUCAACGAAAAAUACCGCACAAUAACUUCCUCUUUUAAGACGAUGACAAUAAAUCUUAGAGUCACCGCAUAAAACUGAUAAAUAUAACAAAUAUGAUAAACGAAAAUGGUACAUCUUUUCUAAACGGUCUAAGAAACAAUUAUGUCACCAGUAUUAAUUAAUUAAUGCCAUUGCAUCGAAGGUUUAUAGAAUUUCGCUCGAGUAUGAAAGUUAGAACAGCAGAUGAACACGUAAUGGGAGCACAGAAACAAUAUGGGAAGCUGUACCAAUGGAACGAAAGGGUUGUUUACUGUUACCCAUGCGGGCUAUCGGAAGUAUCGGCUUGUGUCGCUGGAAUAAAGGCCGGAUAAUUUUAUGCGGGCAAUGCGAAUUAAAUAAGCCAUAUAAUACCUCUACUUGAUCGUGUAUCAUUAAAGAGUUGUAGGUCAAGGAGUUGGUAUGAGUAUAUCAUAGCCAAGAUCGAAUCGGUGGACAAAGUUUCCUGAGCCAAAAAGCGUCUACCGUUGAAACGGUUCUACAAUAUGGGUUCCCGAUUUCAGGGUGACGAUAGAGGAGCCAAAGAGAGGAGAGGGAAGAAAAAGAGAGGAAAGGAGAGAGAGAACAAGAGCGUUGCUCGCUAUUGUUUUCUCGAGUGGUACUCACUGGUUCAAUGCUCGCCUGCUCUGGUAGACCGGUACCAGAUGUACCCGGACCGCCUGGUUUCAACUGUGAUACCAUGCCACGCCAUUCCUGAUGACUACGGUUCCCAGCUUACCAAACAUUUUUGCCAUUCUUCUAACCAGCAGCAACGCGUUAUUCAUUUACGCUAUUAGCUAAGUUCAGCUGUUUGCAUGGAUCAAGUCAAAGGUACUCGAGGAGAAGGACUAAGAAAAAUUACAGUCGCAGAUUUCUUACAACUAAUCUGAAAAUAACGGGUUGCUGACCUAAUUUAGCUUGACCUUAACACUGCAGCAAAGAAUGGAAUAAAAUAUUGGGACUAGGUUUUAUAACGAACUUACCUUCCAAUUGUUUUUAAUGGAUAGAUAGGAAAAUUCAGCUAACACGAUUUUGCGACCAACUAAAUUAUAUAUUUUUUUUUUGUUUUUAGUGCAUACAUUAAGAAAAUGUUCGCAUGUGAUGCGAAUAAGCUGUGAAUACAAUGAAAAUCAUAUAUGUGUUUCGCCUUUGGUUGAUUGUGCACUGACGAUAUGUACGAAUAAGUUUAAGAAACAAGGCGUUGACGCGAAAGAAUCGAUCGGUAACAAAUAAAAUUUUGAUAAAGGAAUGUCUAUUGCUGUGUAGUGAAUCUUUGCUUAUCACGUCGAUUGUAGAACUAGCCAUAUCUAAGAAUAUUAAGAAUCAAUUUUUUAAAUCUAAUGCUUCAAUAUCUUUGCAAAUUGAAGUUUGCAAAUUUCUUUUUAACAAUUCCGUUAAAUUCGUAACACAACAGUCAACGUGUUAACACUUUGCCCACGUUAAAUUCGACGAAACUCCUAAAGAAUCGUAACUUUAUUUGAAGCUUCGAGAGAUUCAUUGAAGUGCAAAUUUGUACGUCACCAAAAUAAGCGGCGAUCAGCGCGUUUACAAUUCUGUCUCUUUAGCAAAGCGUCAAUUGUUGCACCGGCGAUAGGAAUGAUGAAAUUUGAAGGGAAAGAACGGCAAUUGAUGUUGUUUAAAAGAAUACUCUGUAUUACAACUGGCGAAUAGCAUCCACGACGACAUUGUAACUCAGAAUACCGAUCAAUUGUUGUACCAACACCGAAUGAAAAAUACGCUUCAUCAAGUUAUACGAUUAAAAAAAAAAA